AGAAGAGCUAUUCUCACCCUCGACUCGUCUCUUUCUCAUUCUUAUUUUAACUAAUAAGUACUUAAGACUAGUUUUGCUUAUCAUCUGUGAUAAUUUUGUUUUUAGAUAGGCUUGGCUGUCCAAGAUUAGUUUUGCUUACCAUCUGUGAUAAAUUCAUUUUUAGAUAGGCUUGGCUAUCCAAGGCCCAAGGUUUGACCUCAUGUCGGCUCAUAU
rnacentral:misc_RNA from 1 species